GUUUUUUUCAUGUAUAAGCUCCCUGGUUAUAUAUUGCAUUUUUAAUACUUCUGUCUCCCUUUCUAAUUCACCGCAAUGGACAUUAUGAAUUACUGCCUGGAGCUAUAUUGCCAGCGAACAUCAUCCCAGAAUACAAUAUGGCAAUACCGGAAGAGACGUUUGACGCUCUCCGACACGUCAAUUCCGGGUACACGAAAAUAAACGCAAACAGCCGAUUCAGCCAACACCUCCUCGGACCGGCGAUUUGAUUGGACAGGAGAUACACAGGGAGACCAAACACGGACGAACCGCCAGGUAUAAAACCGGC